UGCCCACAUAUGGUGUCCCUAUGGGUCCCUAUGGGGUCCUUAUGGGACCCUAUGGGGUCUAUAUGGGUCCCUAUGGGGUCCUUAUGGGGCCCUAUGGGGUCUAUAUGAGUCCCUAUGGGGUCCUUAUGGGGCACUAUGGGGUCCUAUGUCCACAUAUGGGGUCCUUAUUGCAGCCCAAUGGGGUCUAUAUGGGUCCCUAUGGGGUCCUUAUUGCAGCCAUGGGGUUCUUAUCGGGUCCCUGGGGUUCUUAUGGGGUCCCUAUGGGGUCUGUAUGGGGCCCUGUGGGGUCUAUAUGGGGCACUAUGGGGUCUGUAUGGGUCCUAUGGGGUCCUUAUGGGGCCCUAUGGGGUCUAUAUGGGUCCCUGUGGGGUCUAUAUGGGGCCCUUUGGGGUCUAUAUGGGGCCCUAUGGGGUCUGUAUGGGGCACUAUGGGGUCUGUAUGGGCCCUAUGGGGUCUAUAUGGGUCCCUAUGGGGUCUGUAUGGGGCCCUAUGGGGUCUGUAUGGGGCCCUAUGGGGUCCUGUGUCCACAUAUGGUGUCCCUAUGGGGUCCUUAUGGGGCCCUAUGGGGUCCUAUGCCCACAUAUGGGGUCUAUAUAGGUCCCUGUGGGGUCUAUAUGGGGCCCUAUGGGGUCCUAUGUCCACAUAUGGUGUCCCUAUGGGGACUGUAUGGGUCCCUAUGGGGUCUAUAUGGGGCCCUGUGGGGUCUGUAUGGGGCCCUAUGGGGUCCUAUGUCCACAUAUGGGGUCCCUAUGGGUCCCUAUGGGGUCCUUAUGGGGCCCUAUGGGUUCUAUAUGGGUCCCUAUGGGGUCCUUAUGGGGCCCUAUGGGUCCCUAUGUGGUCUAUAUGAGUCCCUAUGGGGUCCUUAUGGGGCACUAUGGGGUCCUAUGUCCACAUAUGGGGUCCUUAUUGCAGCCCUAUGGGGUCUAUAUGGGGCCCUAUGGGUCCUUAUGGGUCCCUAUAUGUCUAUAGGGUCCUUAUGGGCUCUCUAUAGGGUCCCUAUAUGCCUAUAG
rnacentral:lncRNA from 1 species